AGAAGAUCAAUGACCUUUGUGGUAAUGCUUUUUAAAUUAUUAUUAUUAUUUUUUAAAUUUAAUUUGUUUAACUUUGGGUUGUUGACGAGAGAACAAAAUCCCUAGUUAUUCAAGCUCUAUGGGUUUUGGUAAUGUGGAAUUCUUUUUAUUUGGUGGAAUUAUCCGAUUUAUAAACUAACUUAGCUUCAUAUAUAUUUAGCGUUGGAUCUGAGACUCUCUAGGUCUCAAGUUUACCGUUGAAUGGUAUGAGUUUAAUUUUGUUCUUGUUGAUUGCUCUAGCAAUUAGGGAGACAGCAAUGCUUUAUUUAUUUAUUACUUUUGGGCUUUUUUUUUAUUUUUUUGGUGCUGGGGAUAACUUGGUUUAAACACUUAAUGUUGGCCUCUGUUUGCCAAUAGGUAUCAAGGAAUCUG
rnacentral:misc_RNA from 1 species